AGAGAGAAUUGUGACCCAAGCAAGAAUCAUGGGUCCAGAACUCCACCCAAGGAAGCUAGUUCAAAGCAAGAGAAAGAGCACAGCUUUUCACACAAUUGAAUAGAUCUCAACUUCAUGAUUGUGGUAUUGAAGAUGCUGACAGUAGCCAGUGGCUCUGUGAAGGCAAUUUUGCAACCUACCAUUCUUGGCUACUCCUGGGAUAUUUUACUUGGCUGUGAGAGCCCCCUGAGAAGCUUCUCUUUUUCUCACACAAUUCCUCCAUCAGCAAAGUGUGGUGGGCAGCACACAGUGACUGUGAUUCUUGGAGAUGGCACUGGGACUGAACUUAUGCUGCCUGUCAAGAUUAUGUUCAGACAUGUGUGUGUGCCUGUGGACUUUGAGGGAGUGUGAGUGACCUCCACCUCUGCCUCACAUGAAGAGGAAAUUCACAAUGCCAUCAUGGCAGUUCAUUGAAACCGUGUGGCUUUGAAGAGUAGCAUUAAAACUGACGACACCCGGCCACCAUCAUACAAAUCCUUCAACAACAUGUUUACACCACCAUAGAUCUCUGUGCCAACGUCAUUCAUUUAAAAAAUUUGCCAAACAUGGAGACCUGGCACAAGGACGUAGACAUCCUAGUUGUCUGGGAAAACACAGAGGGUGAGUACAGCAAUCUGGAGCAUGAGAGUGUGAAAGGAGUGACAGAGAUCCUAAAGAUCAUGACUAAGGCCAAGUCUUUGCGCAUUGCUGAAUAUGCCUUCCAGCUGGCCCAGAAGAUGGGAUGCAAACAAGUGACGGCUGUGCACAAGGUCAACAUCAUGAAACUGGGAGAUGUUCUCUUCCUCCAGUGCUGUGGGGGAGGUGGCAUCCUGCUAUCCUCAGCUCACCUUAGAAGACACGAUUGUGGAGAAUGCCACAAUGCACUUUCUGUGAAGAGGGCUGCAGAUACGGUGGAACGUGUGUGGCUCCUAACAAAUGUGUCUGUCCAUCUGGAUUCACAGGAAGCCACUGCGAGAAAGAUAUUGAUGAAUGUUCAGAGGGAAUCAUUGAGUGCCACAACCAUUCCCGCUGCGUUAACCUGCCAGGGUGGUACCACUGUGAGUGCAGAAGCGGUUUCCAUGACGAUGGGACCUAUUCACUGUCCGGGGAGUCCUGUAUUGGAUGGCAAGAUAUUCUGCCGACGGACAGCUUGUGAUUGCCAGAAUCCAAGUGCUGACCUUUUCUGUUGCCCAGAAUGUGACACCAGAGUCACAAGUCAAUGUUUAGACCAAAAUGGUCACAAGCUGUAUCGAAGUGGAGACAAUUGGACCCAUAGCUGUCAGCAGUGUCGGUGUCUGGAAGGAGAGGUAGAUUGCUGGCCACUCACUUGCCCCAACUUGAGCUGUGAGUACACAGCUAUCUUAGAAGGGGAAUGUUGUCCCCGCUGUGUCAGUGACCCCUGCCUAGCUGAUAACAUUGCCUAUGACAUCAGAAAAACUUGCCUGGACAGCUACGGUGUUUCAAGGCUUAGCGGCUCAGUGUGGACGAUGGCUGGAUCUCCCUGCACAACCUGUAAAUGCAAGAAUGGAAGAGUCUGUUGUUCUGUGGAUUUUGAGUGUCUUCAAAAUAAUUGAAGUAUUUAAAAUGGACUCAUUGCAGAAGAAUGGACAAAAUGACCAUCCAACGUGAUUAAGAAUAGGAAUUGGUGGUUUGGUUUUUUUGUUUGUUUUGUUUUUGUAACCACAGAUAAUUGCCAAAGUUUCCAUCUGAGGAAGGUGUUUGGAGGUUGCCUUUUGGACCUACCACUUUGCUCAUUCUUGCUAACCUAGUCUAGGUGACCUACAGUGCAGUGCAUUUAAGUCAAUGGUUGUUAAAAGAAGUUUCCCGUGUUGUAAAUCAUGUUUCCCUCAUCAGAUCAUUUGCAAAUACAUUUAAAUGAUCUCAUGGU
rnacentral:sRNA from 1 species